rnacentral:tRNA from 1 species
GUCUCAAUGGCGUAGUGGUUAGCGCAUGAGCUCCGGUUGGGCGCCAGACGGGGGUUCGAAUCCCGCCUGAUACG